GGAGAGGUGGCUGAGUGGUCGAAAGCGCAUUCCUGCUAAGAAUGUAAGCCUUUACGGGCUUCGAGGGUUCGAAUCCCUCUCUCUCCGCAA
rnacentral:tRNA from 1 species